GCAUGGCUUUGGUUUGAAGGGGGAGUGUCCCAUUAUUUCGUCUUUGUAUACUCCAUGCUAUAUUGAAAAUGUAUUCAAAACUAUUGUCUGGCCUAACUACCAUUGCAUUUGACCACUGAUGUGGAUACUACAAGG
rnacentral:snoRNA from 1 species